UUCUUAAAAUGAGUAACAAAGUAUGUUUCCUUUUUCUGUUUGCCUCUAUGUGUUUUUGUUAUCAAUUUCCUUAGUUUUGUUCUCGCUGCUCAGAGCUUUGCUCUCACUUCCAGAUUUGCACUUACACUGUCUGGCUUUCUCCUUUGCAAUCCCUGAGUUUUUGGUUGCAAUUCUGACACAACCCUUUCGGGUGGGCGGGACUUCUGAGAAGUCCUCUCCCAUAGGACAGUGGUUUCUCUUGAGUGACAGUUCAGUGACCUGGAAGUGAUGUAGCCUCCAAGACAUUUUUUUCCCACCUGGUCAACAACAUGAAUUUUGAGCCCCAAACAGGUUAUUUCUGCUGUCUGUGGUGUCUACUGAGGAUCUAAAGAACCUGUGGAACAUCAGAGACUUUGCAGCUACUGGAGCUAACCUGUGUACUGCUAACUUGCUACAGAGGAAGCAGCAGAAAGCUGAGCUAACAGGCUGUUUUGCAGGUAAUCCUCAGGUGUCAGCAGGAGGAGGUGACUACCUGCACAACGGAGCACCCUGGUUCUGAGCCAGUUGCACCUUUGUGCAGCUCUUUGGGGAGACGAUGCUCAGCAGACACAUGCCUCCAUGUGGUCAGGUGGUGUUGGUGUGAUCUGGGAGGGCACACUCAUGUCGUCAUCUCCUUGUGCCGUCUCCAGGAUCCUGAUGGGAGUUCUCUGUGCCUAUAAAGCAGGAGUAUUUACUUCUGGGCCUGGAGGGCCGGUAUCCAGCACGUUUUAGUUUUAACUCUGUUUCAAUACACCUGAUUUCAGUCAGCAGAUAAUUAACAGGCUUCUGCAGAGCUGCUGCACAGGUAAUUCAACCACUGAUUCAAGUGUGUUGGAGCAGGGAAACAACUAAAACGUGCUGGAUACCAGCCAUCCAGGACUAGAAUUGAAUACCCCUGCUAUAAAGCCUUCCUCCCUCCUCCGGACUUUAAACAUUAGUGUU